rnacentral:rRNA from 1 species
AGUGAACGCUGGCGGUAGGCCUAACACAUGCAAGUCGAACGGCAGCACAGUAAGAGCUUGCUCUUACGGGUGGCGAGUGGUGGACGGGUGAGGAAUACAUCGGAAUCUACUUUUUCGUGGGGGAUAACGUAGGGAAACUUACGCUAAUACCGCAUACGACCUACGGGUGAAAGCAGGGGAUCUUCGGACCUUGCGCGAUUGAAUGAGCCGAUGUCGGAUUAGCUAGUUGGCGGGGUAAAGGCCCACCAAGGCGACGAUCCGUAGCUGGUCUGAGAGGAUGAUCAGCCACACUGGAACUGAGACACGGUCCAGACUCCUACGGGAGGCAGCAGUGGGGAAUAUUGGACAAUGGGCGCAAGCCUGAUCCAGCCAUACCGCGUGGGUGAAGAAGGCCUUCGGGUUGUAAAGCCCUUUUGUUGAGAAAGAAAAGCAGCAGGUUAAUACCCCGCUGUUCUGACGGUACCCAAAGAAUAAGCACCGGCUAACUUCGUG